UGGUUUUCUUCAUAAUUAUUUUAAUCGAUUUUCUGACAACAACAACAUUCUAAAAUAUGCCAAAAUCUUGAAGAAAACAGUCAGCAAUGGGAAAUACAGACACAAAACUCAAUUUCAGGAAAGCUGUUAUACAGCUAACCACUAAGACACAGCCAAUAGAAGCCAGUGAUGAAUCAUUCUGGGAACAGUUUUGGUCUGACAGUGUGACCUGUGUACAAGAUGUCUUUACUCUAAUACCUGCUGCAGAGAUACGUGCACUGCGUGAAGAAUCUCCGUCAAAUCUUGCAACAUUAUGUUACAAAGCUGUAGAGAAACUUGUAGCAGCUGCAGAAAGUGGUUGUCCUUCACAAAAAGAACAACAAAUUGUUUUAAAUUGUAUACGAUUGUUGACCAGGGUGCUACCAUAUAUAUUUGAAGACCCUGAUUGGAGAGGAUUCUUCUGGUCAACAUUACCUGGUCAGUCUGAAGACUCAGAGACUGAGAGUCCUCCACUAGCCCAGUCACUUCUAAAUGCUCUAUCAGAUCUGUUGUUUUGUCCAGAUUUUACAGUGCAGUCAAACAGAAAAUCUGGUCCUGACAACCCAGAAGAUAUGACUUCUAUAGACAGUUGUGAAUAUAUAUGGGAAGCUGGUGUUGGAUUCGCUCACUCCCCUACGCAUAACCAUACUCAUGAUCAAAAUCGUACAGAAAUAAUCAAACUACUACUCACUUGUUUCUCAGAAACUAUGUACUUGCCUCCUGUUGCUGAUGCCCACACAUCACCUAACCAAUGGAUUCAUUACUUCUCAUCAACAGAUAACAGACAUGCUCUACCAUUAUUUACUUCCUUACUCAACAUAGUAUGUUCAUAUGACCCUGUAGGCUAUGGCCUACCAUAUAAUCAUCUGAUGUUCACAGACUCUCGGGAACCAUUAGUAGAAGUAGCCCUGCAAGUUUUAUGUGUUACGUUGGAGAAUGAAGCAUCCAAUAAUCAGAAUGUAUCUGUGGACGGAACAUCUGGUGGAACUGCUAUGGAAAAUGGACAACCAGAUGCUGCUGGUCCAGAUAAUCUGUUUGUCAAUUACCUGUCCAGGAUACACAGAGAAGAAGAUUUCCAUUUUAUAUUGAGAGGCAUAACAAGGUUGUUAAAUAAUCCACUGGCACAGACUUAUCUACCUGGUUCUACAAAGAAAAUACAGUUUCAUCAGGAACUAUUAGUAAUGUUCUGGAAAAUGUGUGAUAUAAAUAAGAAAUUCAUGUUUUUUGUUCUAAAGAGUAGUGAUGUAUUAGAUGUACUAGUACCAAUACUCUAUUUCCUUAAUGAUGCACGUGCCGAUCAAUCUCGAGUUGGUUUAAUGCAUAUUGGUGUAUUUAUUUUGUUACUUCUGAGUGGAGAGAGAAAUUUUGGUGUUAGAUUAAACAAGCCCUACACUGUACGAGUACCAAUGGAUAUACCUGUAUUCACUGGAACACAUGCUGACUUUCUUAUAAUUGUGUUCCAUAAGAUAAUUACCACAGGUCACCAAAGGUUACAGCCUCUGUUUGAUUGUCUGUUAACUAUCAUUGUAAAUGUAUCUCCUUACCUGAAAACCUUAUCAAUGGUUGCCAGUACAAAAUUAUUACAUUUAUUAGAGGCAUUUAGUACUCCAUGGUUUCUGUAUGCCAGUCCUACCAAUCACCAUCUAGUGUUCUUCAUCUUGGAAGUCUUCAAUAAUAUCAUACAGUAUCAGUUUGAUGGCAAUUCCAACCUUAUCUACACAAUAAUAAGGAAGAGAAAUGUUUUCCACCAGCUGGCAAAUCUACCUGUAGAACACUCCGCUAUAGCUAAAGCAUUGUCUAAGAGAGGCAAGAAGUUUGUACAAUUAACUGCUGGGUCAGAUCACAAAGAACCACAAACAAUGGAGGGAGCUAUUCCUGCAUCAGAAGCUGAACCUGGCACACUUAAAACAUCAUUAGCUGCUACUCCUCGAAUCGACAAAAUGACUGAGAAGGCAGCUCCAGAUGAAGCACAUGCUGAUGCUCCGCCUCCUAUACCACCUAUGCAAGAUCUGGCCACACCCAGUGGCACCCAUAGUGUUCAGCCUCCAAAUGAAAUACAGAACCCAACAGAAUCUGAACAAGAACAGGGGACCAAAGGAAAACUUCAAAAAGCUAAAAGUUUGCCAACCCCUCCUUCAAGUCCUACGCAUUCUGUAACAAGUGAAUCAAGCAGGCCUCCACUAUCUAGGAUGGGAUCCACAGCUGGUGGCUGGGUGGCAACACCCGAUUGGGUACAGUCUUGGAAACAGAAGUUACCCUUGCAGACAAUAAUGAGAAUGUUACAAGUAUUAGUACCCCAAGUGGAGAAAAUAUGUAUUGAUAAGGGUUUAACAGAUGAAAGUGAGAUCCUGAAAUUUCUACAGCAUGGCACAUUAGUAGGUCUGUUGCCUGUACCACAUCCUAUUCUGAUUAGGAAAUACCAGGCUAACUCGGGUACUACCAUGUGGUUCAGAACCUACUUGUGGGGAGUUAUAUAUCUCAGAAAUGUUGAUCCUCCGAUAUGGUAUGACACAAAUGUCAAACUGUUUGAGAUUCAGAGAGUAUGAAAGUGAAUACUUACAUCCAAUGAAAUCCUGUUACAAAGAUCUGACAUUUCCAUGUAGUAUUGUGUUUAUGUUUUAUGUAGUUGUUUGGGUAAAAUACAAAUCUUGGGAAUAUAUUCUUAUGCAAUGUUUCAUUUGCAUAAUAUUCAUAUCAUUUAAAAAUAAUCUCAUAUACAGCAUAAUCUAAUGUCUUACUUAGUAUUCAUUGUGUUUUCAUCCAUUAUUAAAGUUAUUUAGUGACAUUUAUUUUAUAAAACUCUAAAAAUAACAUUUCAAUAAUUUAGAAUAAUCUUGCAGAGUUUAUGAACUAGUCAAAUUUCUUUUAUAUUUUUAUUCUGGUAUGUUAAAGGUAUAUGCCUUUGGGGGACAUAAUAUUGAUUUUAAUGCAAUGGGUUUUAGUAACUGAGAUUUUUCUUUAUGUUUUAAGACUAUAAUGAAUUUAAGAAGCUUGGUUUAUUUCAUUCCCAAGUAUUGAUAAUCAAGAAUAAGGACAAAAGUCAUGAUAUAGAUUGAGAUAACCUGUUCAGCAAGUUAACCAAAUCACCAGACUGUUUAACUAGAGCAGCCUUUAAAAAGGGGGUUUGCCAUUAAUAUAAAUCAACUUGCUUGUCUGCUCCAAAUACAUUAAUUUAACUUGGAAACAAGUCAAGAUGUCUGCUCAAAGUUCACUUUUCUACAGGUUAUGACAACACCAAUCUGAAGUUAUAUCAUUAAACAUUCUUAUUAUUAGUGCUGUCUGAUUGUAGUUUUCAUAGAGAAUUUAUCUGUAAAGUCAAACAUUGUAUGAUAUAUCCAACUCACGCUAUAAAGCCCAUCAACCUAUUAACUUGCUGUCAUUAUAGCCUUUUAUUCACAUUGAGUUGAUAAUAUUCCUUGCAAUAAAAUUGCUGAUGUUGUUUUGAUUAUUUUAUUGAUAAAAAUACUUGUUAAAAUAAUUAAAAAGAUAAAAUUUCCACUUGAGAAGUUUUUUAAAUUUAAUGCAUGCAAAUUUAUUUUUAAUGACAGAAUAUUUCUGAAAGUUACUCCAGUAUUUUUGUUAUAACCCAUUCUUAAUUUCUGCUCUCAUAAGUACAAUGUUCAAAGUUUUACUGUUAAAAAAUACCAAUGUUAAUUACCAACAUAUCUUUAAGUAUAUUUGUGGCUUAACAGCAGACAUGACAUAAUCAUUUGUCAUCUGGUAUUUUGUCAAAUUAAUAUGCAACGCAAUGAAACAGCAACAUAUUGACAAAAAAAAACCAACAAUGUGGGUUUUUUUUAGGUUUUAGAAUUAAAAACUUCAUAAAGUUGAAUGUAAAUAUUAGUUUUAUGCUCUUUAAAAUAUACCAUUCCAAGCAAUAUGUAAAUAUGGGCUUAAUAUUACCUGUGAUAUAGAUUAGAGUUGUGAAAUACAUUGUAGUAUGCAAUUAACUUUUGACUCUGUCAUAGGAGUAAUGGAAAAGGUCAAGUGAAAAAAAGUUGAAAUUUUCGAUAUUCUGUUACAGUAAUUGAAAUAAAUUUGUUCAGAAAAUUUUAUUAAAAAAUAUAUCUUGGCACAUAUGACUGGUAUACAGUGUACUUUUCUCUCAGUUUUUAUUUUCACUUUGUAAGUCUGCCCUUGCCUCCCUCUAUCAAGACUUUUUUUAAUGCUCCUAUGCCACUGUUGAAAUAUAAGAUGUGAAAUAUUUAGCUAUGGAUAUAUUUAUGAAUGGCCAAAAAUUUGUUUAAAGUCAACAUCUGUUGUGGUGAUACAUCUAUUAACAGUUAUUUAUUCUGUUAAUGUGUAUGUUAAAUUAUAUGUAAUUAAAUAUUUGUUGAAACUGAA